GGGGAUGAUUCUGGAUUCGACAGGAUAUUAAAACCUUAGGUGCAUGCCGUGGGGCGGUUUGCCACGUAAAAAGCCGCAAAAAAAUAGUCGCAAGUAACGACGAAAACUACGCUCUAGCAGCUUAAUAACCUGCUGUGAGCCUGUCCUCCCUAGCUUUCGCUUGUAAGACGGGGAUUUAAGGACAGUCAAAUCCAAACAAGCUAGCACGGAUUUUCCAACCUGAGAGAUGAACUGCGAAUUUUAAUUCAGGUAUGUCUUUGUGUGGCGUGUCUAUCCGCAGCAUACUGACGAGAAUAAAGAUUAGACUAAGCAUGUAGUACCGAUGGUGUAGGUAUCUUGGACGGGGGUUCAAAUCCCCCCAUCUCCACCA
rnacentral:tmRNA from 1 species